CCCUUCCGUAGGGGUGNCCUGCGGAAGGAUCAUUACUGUGAUUUAGUACUACACUGCGUGAGCGGAACGAAAACAACAACACCUAAAAUGUGGAAUAUAGCAUAUAGUCGACAAGAGAAAUCUACGAAAAAACAAACAAAACUUUCAACAACGGAUCUCUUGGUUCUCGCAUCGAUGAAGAGCGCAGCGAAAUGCGAUACCUAGUGUGAAUUGCAGCCAUCGUGAAUCAUCGAGUUCUUGAACGCACAUUGCGCCCCUCGGCAUUCCGGGGGGCAUGCCUGUUUGAGCGUCGUUUCCAUCUUGCGCGUGCGCAGAGUUGGGGGAGCGGAGCGGACGACGUGUAAAGAGCGUCGGAGCUGCGACUCGCCUGAAAGGGAGCGAAGCUGGCCGAGCGAACUAGACUUUUUUUCAGGGACGCUUGGCGGCCGAGAGCGAGUGUUGCGAGACAACAAAAAGCUCGACCUCAAAUCAGGUAGGAAUACCCGCUGAACUUAAGCAUAUCAAAAGGCGGAGGAAA
rnacentral:rRNA from 1 species